GUGCUCACUUUGGCAUUACAUAUACUAAAAUUAGAACAGUACAGAGAUUAGCAUGGCCCUGUGCAAGGAUGGCAUGUAAAACAUACAGUUCAUUAUUUGUUUUU
rfam:Cavia porcellus supercont2_45 genomic scaffold, whole genome shotgun sequence.